rnacentral:rRNA from 1 species
CUUACCAUGCAGUCGACGCUGAGCUUGGAGCUUGCUCCGGGUGGAUGAGUGGCGAACGGGUGAGUAACACGUGAGUAACCUGCCCCUGACUCUGGGAUAAGCCUGGGAAACUGGGUCUAAUACUGGAUAUGACUACUGGCCGCAUGGCCUGGUGGUGGAAAGAUUUAUCGGUUGGGGAUGGACUCGCGGCCUAUCAGCUUGUUGGUGAGGUAGUGGCUCACCAAGGCGACGACGGGUAGCCGGCCUGAGAGGGUGACCGGCCACACUGGGACUGAGACACGGCCCAGACUCCUACGGGAGGCAGCAGUGGGGAAUAUUGCACAAUGGGCGCAAGCCUGAUGCAGCGACGCCGCGUGAGGGAUGACGGCCUUCGGGUUGUAAACCUCUUUCAGUUGGGAAGAAGCCUUUCGGGGUGACGGUACCUUCAGAAGAAGCGCCGGCUAACUACGUGCCAGCAGCCGCGGUAAUACGUAGGGCGCGAGCGUUAUCCGGAAUUAUUGGGCGUAAAGAGCUCGUAGGCGGUUUGUCGCGUCUGCCGUGAAAGUCCGGGGCUUAACUCCGGAUCUGCGGUGGGUACGGGCAGACUAGAGUGCAGUAGGGGAGACUGGAACUCCUGGUGUAGCGGUGAAAUGCGCAGAUAUCAGGAAGAACACCGAUGGCGAAGGCAGGUCUCUGGGCUGUAACUGACGCUGAGGAGCGAAAGCAUGGGGAGCGAACAGGAUUAGAUACCCUGGUAGUCCAUGCCGUAAACGUUGGGCACUAGGUGUGGGGGGACAUUCCACGUUUUCCGCGCCGUAGCUAACGCAUUAAGUGCCCCGCCUGGGGAGUACGGCC